rnacentral:rRNA from 1 species
GAUGAACGCUAGCUACAGGCUUAACACAUGCAAGUCGCGGGGCAGCAUGGGGGUUGCUUGCAAUCCCCGAUGGCGACCGGCGCACGGGUGAGUAACGCGUAUCCAACCUGCCCUUCACCACGGGAUAACCCGGCGAAAGUCGGACUAAUACCGUAUGUUGUCCAUUGACGGCAUCCGAUUUGGACGAAAGGUUUGGCGGUGAAGGAUGGGGAUGCGUCCGAUUAGCUGGACGGCGGGGUGACGGCCCACCGUGGCGACGAUCGGUAGGGGUUCUGAGAGGAAGGUCCCCCACACUGGAACUGAGACACGGUCCAGACUCCUACGGGAGGCAGCAGUGAGGAAUAGUGGUCAAUGGGCGUAAGCCUGAACCAGCCAAGUAGCGUGCAGGAUGACGGCCCUAUGGGUUGUAAACUGCUUUUAUGCGGGGAUAAAGUGGCCCACGUGUGGGUUUUUGCAGGUACCGCAUGAAUAAGGACCGGCUAAUUCCGUG